rnacentral:rRNA from 1 species
UACGGAGGGUGCAAGCGUUGUCCGGAUUUAUUGGGUUUAAAGCAUCCGUAGCCGGUCAUGCAAGUCUUCCGUUAAAUCCAGCCGCUCAACGGUUGGGCUGCGGAGGAUACUACGUGGCUAGGAGGCGGGAGAGGCAAGCGGUACUCAGUGGGUAGGGGUAAAAUCCUUUGAUCCAUUGAAGACCACCAGUGGCGAAGGCGGCUUGCCAGAACGCGCUCGACGGUGAGGGAUGAAAGCUGGGGGAGCAAACCGG